UAGGGAAUCUUCCGCAAUGGACGCAAGUCUGACGGAGCAACGCCGCGUGAGUGAAGAAGGAGUUCGGUUCGUAAAACUCUGUUGUUAGAGAAGAACAGCGCAUAGAGUAACUGUUAUGCGUGUGACGGUAUCUAACCAGAAAGCCACGGCUAACUACGUGCCAGCAGCCGCGGUAAUACGUAGGUGGCAAGCGUUGUCCGGAUUUAUUGGGCGUAAAGCGAGCGCAGGCGGUCAAUUAAGUCUGAUGUGAAAGCCCCCGGCUCAACCGGGGAGGGUCAUUGGAAACUGGUUGGCUUGGGUGCAGAAGAGGAGGGUGGAAGUCCAUGUGUAGCGGUGAUAUGCGUAGAUAUAUGGAGGAACGCCAGUGGCGAAGGCGACUCUCUGGUCUGUAACUGACGCUGAGGUUCGAAAGCGUGGGUAGCAAACAGG
rnacentral:rRNA from 1 species